rnacentral:rRNA from 1 species
UUCCAGCUCCAAUAGCGUAUAUUAAAGUUGUUGCAGUUAAAAAGCUCGUAGUUGAAUUUCGGGACCAAUAUGUCGGUCGUACUUUGUACGUACUAGCAUUAUUGGUUUCUCCCUUCUGAAGAACCGCGAUGUCAUUAAUUUGGUGUCGUGGGGAAUCAGGACUGUUACUUUGAAAAAAUUAGAGUGUUUAAAGCAGGCUCGCGCUUGAAUACAUUAGCAUGGAAUAAUGAAAUAGGACGUUUGAUUCUAUUUUGUUGGUUUCUAGGAUCGACGUAAUGAUUAAUAGGGAUAGUUGGGGGCAUUAGUAUUCAAUUGUCAGAGGUGAAAUUCUUGGAUUUAUUGAAGACUAACUACUGCGAAAGCAUUUGCCAAGGAUGUUUUCAUUAAUCAAGAACGAAAGUUAGGGGAUCGAAGACGAUCAGAUACCGUCGUAGUCUUAACCAUAAACUAUGCGACUAGGGAUCGG